AUUGAACGCUGGCGGCAGGCCUAACACAUGCAAGUCGAACGGUAACAGGAAGCAGCUUGCUGCUUCGCUGACGAGUGGCGGACGGGUGAGUCAUGUCUGGGAAACUGCCUGAUGGAGGGGGAUAACUACUGGAAACGGUAGCUAAUACCGCAUAACGUCGCAAGACCAAAGAGGGGGACCUUAGGGCCUCUUGCCAUCGGAUGUGCCCAGAUGGGAUUAGCUAGUAGGUGGGGUAACGGCUCACCUAGGCGACGAUCCCUAGCUGGUCUGAGAGGAUGACCAGCCACACUGGAACUGAGACACGGUCCAGGCUCCUACGGGAGGCAGCAGUGGGGAAUAUUGCACAAUGGGCGCAAGCCUGAUGCAGCCAUGCCGCGUGUAUGAAGAAGGCCUUCGGGUUGUAAAGUACUUUCAGCGGGGAGGAAGGGAGUAAAGUUAAUACCUUUGCUCAUUGACGUUACCCGCAGAAGAAGCACCGGCUAACUCCGUG
rnacentral:rRNA from 1 species